GUUAAAACAAAGUUAUUUAUACCCUUGUCGUUACUAAUUUCACCAUUUAUACCCCUCAAUUGACGGAAAUCCCCAAACUAACUCAAAUUAACCAAUUUUUACUUAAAUUGCCCAAUUUUAACCCGACCCGACCCACCCAAUAAUAUAACCCAUUUUUGUUCUAUCUUCAUUCUUGUUCAUCUUCAUCUUCAUCUUUAAACUUGUGGAUUCCGUAGCUUUAAGUUCUUUCGAAAAAUUCCAAUAAUGUUCUUAAGCUGACAUAGGUUGAUACAUAGGCAUUACUAUUCAUCAAUUUAUAAUUUUUCCCAUACCUGCUCGAUAUAAAGUUCAAUGUUGGUGGCUGGUUCCUUGUGAACUAUGCGAGGCAUAAGAAGAUUCCAAAGAGAGCUAGGUCUUCCUCUCUGAUUCCAAGAACGGGUCAAAGGAAAACUGACUCUGCUCUCUGCUCUCUCAUCCAGACCCACAUCGCUAACAGUGUCCAGCCAUCACCGUGAAAUCCUAACUCCGGUAGACCGGAGGAAAUCAACAACGACGAAUUAGAGCUCCAAGCUCCAGUAAUUUCGACAAUUUUUUAGAUCUGACUGAAAAAUAAUGCUCCGAUUAUCUGUAUUUAAUCAUUGUUGUGUUCUUGUGUUUUUGGGUUCAUAGCCAUUAUUACAUUAUUUUCGA